GCGGAAGUGGUGGAAUUGGUAGACACGCCAUCUUGAGGGGGUGGUGGCCUUAGGCCGUGGGGGUUCAAGUCCCCCCUUCCGCACCA
rnacentral:tRNA from 1 species